CUAUAUCCGGUGUCCGCCCGCCCUCGGCUCCGCCGCCGUGAUGCUGUCCCGGUCCCGCUGUGUAUCCCGGGCGUUCAGCCGCUCGCUCUCCGCCUUCCAGAAGGGGAACUGCCCUCUAGGGAGACGUUCCCUGCCUGGGGUCUCCUUAUGCCAGGGACCAGGUUACCCUAACAGCAGGAAGGUUGUCAUUAACAACAGUGUCUUCAGUGUUCGCUUUUUCAGAACUACAGCUGUAUGCAAGGAUGACUUGGUUACAGUCAAAACCCCAGCGUUUGCAGAAUCCGUCACAGAGGGAGAUGUCAGGUGGGAGAAAGGUAAGAUUUAGUUUCCUCUUUUUUUUUUUUUUUUUUUUUGAGACAGAGUCUCGCUCUGUUCCCAGCCUGGAGUGCAGUGGUAUGAUCUCGGCUCACUGCAGCCUCUGCCUCCCAGGUUCAAGUGAUUCUCCUGCCUCAGCCUCCCGAAUAGCUGGGAUUACAGGUGCCCACCACCAUGCCUGGCUAAGUUUUUUGUAUUUUUAGUAGAGAUGGGGUUUCACCAUGUUGGUCAGGCUGGUCUCAAACUCCUGACCUCAGGUGAUCUGCCCACCUCAGCCUACCACAAAGUGUUGGGAUUACAGGCCUGAGCCACUGUGUGAGCCACUGCGCCUGGCUCCUCUCACUUCUUAAGUUUAAGUGCUAUCUAAAAUUCUCCCCUCCCCCC
rnacentral:sRNA from 1 species